rnacentral:rRNA from 1 species
CCUACGGGAGGCAGCAGUGGGGAAUUUUGGACAAUGGGCGCAAGCCUGAUCCAGCAAUGCCGCGUGCAGGAUGAAGGCCUUCGGGUUGUAAACUGCUUUUGUACGGAACGAAACGGUCUGCUCUAAUACAGUGGGCUAAUGACGGUACCGUAAGAAUAAGCACCGGCUAACUACGUGCCAGCAGCCGCGGUAAUACGUAGGGUGCGAGCGUUAAUCGGAAUUACUGGGCGUAAAGCGUGCGCAGGCGGUUAUAUAAGACAGAUGUGAAAUCCCCGGGCUCAACCUGGGACCUGCAUUUGUGACUGUAUAGCUAGAGUGCGGCAGAGGGGGAUGGAAUUCCGCGUGUAGCAGUGAAAUGCGUAGAUAUGCGGAGGAACACCGAUGGCGAAGGCAAUCCCCUGGGCCUGCACUGACGCUCAUGCACGAAAGCGUGGGGAGCAAACAGGAUUAGAUACCCUGGUAGUCCACGCCCUAAACGAUGUCAACUGGUUGUUGGGUCUUCACUGGCUCAGUAACGAAGCUAACGCGUGAAGUUGACCGCCUGGGGAGUACGGCCGCGAAGGUUGAAACUCAAAGGAAUUGACGGCUGAGACCGNGCGAGGACGACGACGAGGGAGGAGG